rnacentral:lncRNA from 1 species
GUCUCGAUCUCCUGAACCUCAUGAUCUGCCCAAUUCGGCUUCCCAAAGUGCUGGGAUUACAGGUGUGAGCCACUGCGCCUGGCCAACUGCAUGGAGUUUUUAAGAUUUCCUAUGGCCCAAGUACUCAUAAGCAUCCUGCAUGGAUUAACCCUGAGAGGCAGGUGGUAUUAUUAUUCUCACUCUACCUGGGUUCCCACCUGAUAAUUGGUGAGGCCCUUUCAAAUGUCCUUUGGCCUUCUAUCCCCUGCCUUCUCUUGACUCCUUGAAGUGGGAAAAUGAAACCUAAAGUGCCUCCCUCCCCAGAGUGGGCCAUGUGGCGAACUCUAUCCAAUGUCUCAGCACCUGCCACUCUCUAGUUGCAUCC